GCGCGUGUGGUGGAACUGGUAUACACGCUGGUCUUAAACACCAGCGCCUCUGGCAUGUGGGUUCGAGUCCCACCACGCGCA
rnacentral:tRNA from 1 species